AAUAGGGUGGCUGAGAAUAUAGGCGUUAGAUUGUAAAUCUAAAGACAAGUUUAAACUUCCUUAUUA